CAGCCGCCGCGGUAAUACGUAGGGUGCGAGCGUUAAUCGGAAUUACUGGGCGUAAAGCGUGCGCAGGCGGUUCGUUAAGACAGAUGUGAAAUCCCCGGGCUUAACCUGGGAACUGCAUUUGUGACUGGCGAGCUAGAGUAUGGCAGAGGGGGGUAGAAUUCCACGUGUAGCAGUGAAAUGCGUAGAGAUGUGGAGGAACAUCAGUGGCGAAGGCGGCCAUCUGGGACAACACUGACGCUGAGGCACGAAAGCGUGGGGAGCAAACAGGAUUAGAUACCCGCGUAGUCCCUGUCUCUUAUAA
rnacentral:rRNA from 1 species